UACGUAGGGGGCAAGCGUUGUCCGGAUUUACUGGGCGUAAAGCGCGCGUAGGCGGAAGCUCAAGUCUGGCCUGAAAGACCCCGGCUCAACCGGGGAGUGGGGCUGGAAACUGGGUUUCUUGAGGGCGAUAGAGGAGUGUGGAAUUCCUGGUGUAGCGGUGAAAUGCGUAGAGAUCGGGAAGAACAUCGGUGGCGAAAGCGAUCUACUGGACGGUGACUGACACUCAGGGACGAAAGCUAGGGGAGCGAAUGGG
rnacentral:rRNA from 1 species